UGGGGAAUAUUGGACAAUGGGCGCAAGCCUGAUCCAGCCAUACCGCGUGGGUGAAGAAGGCCUUCGGGUUGUAAAGCCCUUUGUUGGGAAAGAAAAGCAGCCGGUUAAUACCCGGUUGUUCUGACGGUACCCAAAGAAUAAGCACCGGCUAACUACGUGCCAGCAGCCGCGGUAAUACGUAGGCAGCAAGCGUUGUUCGGAGUUACUGGGCGUAAAGAGUGCGUAGGCGGUUUUCUAAGUUCGGUGUGAAAUCUCCCGGCUUAACUGGGAGGGUGCGCCGAAGACUGGGAAGCUGGAGUGUGGGAAAGGCAGGCGGAAUUCCUGGUGUAGCGGUGAAAUGCGUAGAUAUCAGGAGGAACACCGGCGGUGUAGACGGCUUGCUAGACCAUAACUGACGCUGAGGCACGAAAGCGUGGGUAGCAAACA
rnacentral:rRNA from 1 species